rnacentral:rRNA from 1 species
GUCUAUGGCCGUGCUACCCUGAACAAGCCUGAUCCCAUCUGAUCUCGGAAGCUAAGCGGGAUCGGGCCUGGUUAGUACUUGGAUGAGAGACCACCUAGGAAGACCAGGUGCUGUAGGCG